CACCUACGGGUGGCAGCAGUGGGGAAUUUUGGACAAUGGGCGCAAGCCUGAUCCAGCAAUGCCGCGUGUGUGAAGAAGGCCUUCGGGUUGUAAAGCACUUUUGUCCGGAAAGAAAACGUCGUGGUUAAUACCCGUGGCGGAUGACGGUACCGGAAGAAUAAGCACCGGCUAACUACGUGCCAGCAGCCGCGGUAAUACGUAGGGUGCAAGCGUUAAUCGGAAUUACUGGGCGUAAAGCGUGCGCAGGCGGUCCGCUAAGACAGAUGUGAAAUCCCCGGGCUUAACCUGGGAACUGCAUUUGUGACUGGCGGGCUAGAGUAUGGCAGAGGGGGGUAGAAUUCCACGUGUAGCAGUGAAAUGCGUAGAGAUGUGGAGGAAUACCGAUGGCGAAGGCAGCCCCCUGGGCCAAUACUGACGCUCAUGCACGAAAGCGUGGGGAGCAAACAGGAUUAGAUACCCUGGUAGUCCACGCCCUAAACGAUGUCAACUAGUUGUCGGGUCUUCAUUGACUUGGUAACGUAGCUAACGCGUGAAGUGACC
rnacentral:rRNA from 1 species